GAAGAAAGAAGACAACAUAGGCUCAAUCGAUAACUGAGAGCUCAUUCGUCCACACCAAGCCAAAACGGCUAUUUGGAAGGCGAUGUGGUGGAGAAAAAAGAGAAGAAAGAGAGAGAGGAGUGUCCCUCCAUUUUCUCUGUGGUAGAAAUGAGACAUAUCCACUUUAUUUUUAUAUAACCAAAUGACUUGGAUGCUACUA
ensembl:ncRNA F49E10.12 ncRNA